UACGUAGGGCGCAAGCGUUAUCCGGAAUUACUGGGCGUAAAGGGCUCGUAGGCGGCCAACUAAGUCGGAUGUGAAAUCCCCAGGCUCAACCUGGGAACUGCAUCCGAUACUGGAUGGCUUGAAUUCGGGAGAGGGAUGCAGAAUUCCAAGUGUAGCGGUGAAAUGCGUAGAUAUCUGGAGGAAUACCGGUGGCGAAGGCGGCAUCCUGGACCGACAUUGACGCUGAGGAGCGAAAGCCAGGGGAGCAAACGGG
rnacentral:rRNA from 1 species